rnacentral:rRNA from 1 species
AUGAGGCGGGCACUUUGUAGUGUUCAGUUAAUGGUGAACCAAAAAGUCCGGAUAUGGCGAGAUCGCUGGGUGGCGCGUGAGCCUACAGGUGGAUUGAUCUCUGCGCGGGGUAGAUGCCGCCUUAAGUGGGUCUCGGAGCUUAUGGAUUUCCGUGGCAACUGGGACUUGGAGAAGUUACAGCAGUACUUCCUCCCGGUGGACAUUGUUGAGAUACUGAAAAUUCGUCCGUCACCUCGAUUUGGGGAGGAUUUUCUAGCCUGGGCGCCUGAAAGAAACGGUAUUUUUACUGUCCGGAGUGCAUACAAACUUGCUAGCGAUGAAGCCUCAAACCAUCAGGAGCAUUCUUCAAGCUCUUCUCCGGAUGGUACGAGAGCAGUUUGGAAUCACAUAUGGAAAAGCUUGGUGCCCCCAAAAGUUCAGAGCUUCGCAUGGAGAUUAGCUACUGAUUCUUUAGCGAACUGGACCAACAAAGUUAAACGCAAGCUGGAAGUCUCGCCUUUAUGCCCAGUGUGCGGUAGGGAAGAUGAGGAUUCGUUCCAUGUCUUCUGCUCCUGCAAUCAUGCAGUGAUCCUAUGGAAAUUGAUGGCAAAGGUGUGGAACCUUCCUUCCAGGACCAUGCUAAAACAUGUGGGGCCUGACUGGUUCAUCCAUCUUUUAGCUGAAACAAAUGAGGAAGGCAGAGCUUUUGUGAUGAUGCUGUUUUGGAGGAUUUGGUUUGUUCGAAACGAGUUGGUGCACCAUAAAAGGCCACCACCAAUGGAAGUUUCUGUCUGUUUCCUGUCCAGUUACCUCUCCUCUUUAUCUGCAAUUAAUUCCAACCCUAGCGAUGACCCGAUCAAGGGCAAAGCGAUACUGGAUACAGGCCUUGAGAAGAGCCAUAAAAGACUCCAGUCAGAUGUGGCUGCAGAUGCACUGUGGGCGAAGCCGAGUAUUGGACGGGUGAAAUUAAAUACUGACGCUUCGGUGUUAGGAGAGGAGGCAGGUUGUGGAAUGAUAUUGAGGGACCAUGAGGGGUCUAUAAUCUUCAGCUCCUGUAGACAUAUAUAUGGGUGUAAUGAUGUUCUUGAAGCUGAACUGCUAGCUUUGAGAGAGGGGAUAUCUCUUGCAAUCCUGUGGAGCAUGCUGCCUCUAGAUAUAGAAUCGGAUUGUCUACAAGCAGUCCAGAUGAUAGUCGGAGGUUCUAGCAACAAGUCCAAGUUUGCGUUCAUCGUGAAGGAGAUCAUCGGUAUUAUGGAGGAAAGAAGCUCUUGCAUUACUCAUUCUCGUCGAUGCUGUAAUUUGGCUAGUCAUUCCCUGGCUAAUUUUGGAAGAACACAACGCCGACCGGUUGUUUGGCUGGGCUCAGGUCCGGAAGUAGUCCGUGAUAUUAUAGAACGAGAAUGUAAUCCUGUAAAUGGUGCUGAGUAA